GAGCUGUUUCCCCCUUAAACAGGAACACUGCAGCCAUGAUUCCACAGACCUAUUUACUUCUCUUUUCAUAAUGUGCCAGUCUGCAGGCAAUAAAACUGUCAGGCACAACUCAAGAGCAAUAAACAGAGGGAAAACUGUUAUUUAACGGGCCAAGAAUCGUCUGCACGGUGUCACUACGUAUUCAGAGCAGUGUGCUGGGGAAAAGUCAUUUCGUGGAAUGACAAUUUGUGUUGCAGCUAUUUUCAGCUCCCCUUCCUUUCCCCUUCACUCCAUCUCCUCGGCGGGAGAAGGGAGAUUGCUCCAUCUCUGCUCUGCUGCUAAGGAAGCAGCACUGGGGCUGCUCGGAGCUGCAACGGAGGGAACAGAAGAGGAGGGGGAAAGGACAUAACCAGAACCUGAAUACAUAUCUGCUGCUGCUACCCCUCCCAGAAGACACUGGAUACAGUGGUUCUACCCUGGAAGAGAUCAAAAGAAUCUGAAGUCUGAGCCUUCAAUAUGCCAGCACCACCAAGGUCUGUGUGCUCAAGGGCUCAGCAGUUCCCCAGGCCAAAUACCUGAACGGUCUUUCAGCAGUGCAUGCUUCACACAGCCCCUGCUAUGUAAACCUCACCAAUGCAGAGUUAGGUAAUGGUUGGGCUCAGGGAACUUAAAGGUCUUUUUUGACUGAAACAGUUCUGUGAUGCAAGCCCACUGAAAGCAUCACCUAAAAUCUACGAUUCUUAUUUUAGAUGACUUCUCUGAAAACACAGCUCACCUCUCCAAGAUGUUCAUUUCACAGCUCUGAGAGGGGGGG